UACGUAGGGUGCGAGCGUUAAUCGGAAUUACUGGGCGUAAAGGGUGUGCAGGCGGAAAUGUAAGUUAGGUGUGAAAGACCUGGGCUCAACCUAGGCAGUGCGCUUGAUACUGCAUUUCUAGAGUACGGUAGAGGAUAGCGGAAUUUCCGGUGUAGCGGUGAAAUGCGUAGAUAUCGGAAGGAACACCAGUGGCGAAGGCGGCUAUCUGGACUGGUACUGACGCUCAUACACGAAAGCAUGGGGAGCAAACAGG
rnacentral:rRNA from 1 species